rnacentral:rRNA from 1 species
UACGAAGGGGGCUAGCGUUGCUCGGAAUUACUGGGCGUAAAGGGCGCGUAGGCGGACAGUUUAGUCGGGGGUGAAAGCCCAGGGCUCAACCCUGGAAUUGCCUUCGAUACUGGCUGUCUUGAGUUCGGGAGAGGUGAGUGGAAUGCCGAGUGUAGAGGUGAAAUUCGUAGAUAUUCGGCGGAACACCAGUGGCGAAGGCGACUCACUGGCCCGAUACUGACGCUGAUGCGCGAAAGCGUGGGGAGCAAACAG